CAUUAAAGAUUCCGGCCUUGGCCGAACCUGCUCUUCAGCUGUGCGCUCUGGCUGCACGCUGGGAGCAAAAACCCUCACACACCUUGUGCACUGUUCGGUUGCAUCUCCCUUGGGCGAUGCUCCCGCCUUUCACAUACAACCACAAAAGUCCAGAAUGUAAAAACCUUAACAAAUACAACUUUCAACAACGGAUCUCUUGGCUCUCGCAUCGAUGAAGAACGCAGCGAAAUGCGAUAAGUAAUGUGAAUUGCAGAAUUCAGUGAAUCAUCGAAUCUUUGAACGCACCUUGCGCUCCUUGGUAUUCCAUGGAGCACGCCUGUUUGAGUGUCACGUAAACCCUCACCCUUGUGAUGUCAAAAUCGCAUGGAGUGGACUUGGACCGUGCCGUAGUAGGCUUGUCCUGAAAUGCAUUAGCUUGUGCUCGUUAGAGUGCUCGGCAUGGUGUGAUAAUUAUCUGCGCCGUUAUGCCUUAUGCCUCUUCUGUGUGUGCUGCUUCCAAUUGUCCCCUGUGGACUCACUUUAAAGCUUUGGCCUCAAAUCAGGUGGGACUACCCGCUGAACUUAA
rnacentral:rRNA from 1 species